AGACUUCACCGGUCUCCGUUUAGAGCAACGGGACCUGUUGGUCCAUUUCUUUAACUGUCUACGAUAGCAACUCUUU